UUCCCUAAAAAUGUUGUAGGGAUGUUCUGAGAAAAUAGAGUUGGUAUGUGCUUGUUAUUAUCAAUGUGGACAACUAACUGUACAUCA